rnacentral:rRNA from 1 species
AGUGAACGCUGGCGGCAGGCCUAACACAUGCAAGUCGAACGGCAGCACAGUAAGAGCUUGCUCUUACGGGUGGAGAGUGGCGGACGGGUGAGGAAUACAUCGGAACCUACUUUUUAGUGGGGGAUAACGUAGGGAAAUUUACGCUAAUACCGCAUACGACCUACGGGUGAAAGCAGGGGAUCUUCGGACCUUGCGCGAUUGAAUGAGCCGAUGUCGGAUUAGCUAGUUGGCGGGGUAAAGGCCCACCAAGGCGACGAUCCGUAGCUGGUCUGAGAGGAUGAUCAGCCACACUGGAACUGAGACACGGCCCAGACUCCUACGGGAGGCAGCAGUGGGGAAUAUUGGACAAUGGGCGCAAGCCUGAUCCAGCCAUACCGCGUGGAUGAAGAAGGCCUUCGGGUUGUAAAGCCCUUUUGUCGGGAAAGAAAAGCAUCAGUUUAAUACCCCGCUGUUCUGACGGUACCCAAAGAAUAAGCACCGGCUAACUUCGUG